rfam:Apaloderma vittatum contig9640, whole genome shotgun sequence.
GGCCGGUUAGCUCAGUCAGUUGAGCGUGGUGCUGAUAACACUAAGGUCACGGGCUCGAUUCCUGUUCAGUUCC